rnacentral:rRNA from 1 species
AUUGAACGCUGGCGGAAUGCUUUACACAUGCAAGUCGAACGGCAGCACGGACUUCGGUCUGGUGGCGAGUGGCGAACGGGCGAGUAAUGUAUCGGAACGUGCCUAGUCGUGGGGGAUAAUGUAGUGAAAAUUACGCUAAUACCGCAUACGAUCUAUGGAUGAAAGCGGGGGAUCGCAAGACCUCGCGCGAUUGGAGCGGCCGAUAUCAGAUUAGGUAGUUGGUGGGGUAAAGGACCACCAAGCCAACGAUCUGUAGCUGGUCUGAGAGGACGACCAGCCACACUGGAACUUAUACACGGUCCAGACUCCUACGAGAGGCAGAGUUGGUGAAUUUUGGACAAUGGGCGAAAGCCUGAUCCAGCCAUUCCGCGUGCAGGAUGAAGGCCCUCGAGUUGUAAACUGCUUUUGUACAGAACGAAAAGGUUUCUACUAAUACUAGGAGCUCAUGACGUUACUGUAAGAAUAAGCACCGGCUAACUACGUGCCAGCAGCCGCGGUAA